AUUGAACGCUGGCGGCAUGCCUUACACAUGCAAGUCGAACGGCAGCACGGGUGCUUGCACCUGGUGGCGAGUGGCGAACGGGUGAGUAAUACAUCGGAACAUGUCCUGUAGUGGGGGAUAGCCCGGCGAAAGCCGGAUUAAUACCGCAUACGAUCUACGGAUGAAAGCGGGGGACCUUCGGGCCUCGCGCUAUAGGGUUGGCCGAUGGCUGAUUAGCUAGUUGGUGGGGUAAAGGCCUACCAAGGCGACGAUCAGUAGCUGGUCUGAGAGGACGACCAGCCACACUGGGACUGAGACACGGCCAGACUCCUACGGGAGGCAGCAGUGGGGAAUUUUGGACAAUGGGCGAAAGCCUGAUCCAGCAAUGCCGCGUGUGUGAAGAAGGCCUUCGGGUUGUAAAGCACUUUUGUCCGGAAAGAAAUCCUUGGCCCUAAUACGGUCGGGGGAUGACGGUACCGGAAGAAUAAGCACCGGCUAACUACGUG
rnacentral:rRNA from 1 species